UUUUUUCCUUUGUUAAUGUACGGCCCGUUGAAAUAGACGGUUCGGAUAUUCGGUGUGACGUGUUCGUGGGAGGAUAUAAGGGUAAUUGUGCGAGAGGUGCACGUGUGUGUGUGUGGGGUGGGAGCAUGGGAUUACUCCCCAUGCCAAUAAUUUCCCCAGGAGACUACUUUCUCCCAUUUCUCUUUUUCUCACUCUCUCGGCCAAACUCUCUCCUCUCCUCCGAAACUCUCUCCUCCCUUCUCUCUUCGAUCUCAACACCUUAGAGCGUGAUUCCGGACGAAGUCCAAGAAUUAAAAUUGCUCUACGGAGCACGGGCUUUCCGAAUAUCCAAGAAAAAUCUUGAACGGACCGCGUGGGAGCUCGGUUGACUUGGUCAAAGGGUCGGGUUUUGCUCAAAACCCAUGAGGUACACUACAGGGACACAGUCUUGGAGGGUGUGAAGUGCAUGCAGACAUCACAAGCUAAAGUUAUAUAUAUAUUUUGGAAGUACUUGCAUAUCUUCAUAAAACAAAUUGCAUUGUAUUAUUUUCUUUAUUUUUGGAAUACUGUAUCGGUUGGACAAACCUGUGGAUUCGGAAACUGUGAUGCAUUUGGGGGCUAUAGUAUGUACUAUUGCGAGGGUUUGUAUUUAAAAA